AUUGAACGCUGGCGGCAGGCCUAACACAUGCAAGUCGAGCGGGAACUUCGGUUCUAGCGGCGGACGGGUGAGUAAUGCGUAGGAAGCUACCCGAUAGAGGGGGAUACCAGUUGGAAACGACUGUUAAUACCGCAUAAUGUCUACGGACCAAAGUGUGGGACCUUCGGGCCACAUGCUAUCGGAUGCGCCUACGUGGGAUUAGCUAGUUGGUGAGGUAAUGGCUCACCAAGGCGACGAUCCCUAGCUGGUUUGAGAGGAUGAUCAGCCCACACUGGAACUGAGACACGGUCCAGACUCCUACGGGAGGCAGCAGUGGGGAAUAUUGGGCAAUGGGCGCAAGCCUGAUCCAGCCAUGCCGCGUGUGUGAAGAAGGCCUUCGGGUUGUAAAGCACUUUCAGCGAGGAGGAAGGGUUGUGUGUUAAUAGUACACAGCCUUGACGUUACUCGCAGAAGAAGCACCGGCUAACUCUGUGCCAGCCGCCGCCGUAAAAC
rnacentral:rRNA from 1 species